UACGUAGGGCGCGAGCGUUGUCCGGAAUCAUUGGGCGUAAAGAGCGUGUAGGCGGCUCGGUAAGUCCGCUGUGAAAGUCCAGGGCUCAACCCUGGAAUGCCGGUGGAAACUGUCGAGCUAGAGUCCGGAAGAGGCGAGUGGAAUUCCUGGUGUAGCGGUGAAAUGCGCAGAUAUCAGGAGGAACACCAAUGGCGAAGGCAGCUCGCUGGGACGGUACUGACGCUGAGACGCGAAAGCGUGGGGAGCAAACAGG
rnacentral:rRNA from 1 species